rnacentral:rRNA from 1 species
GAUGAACGCUGGCGGCGUGCCUAAUACAUGCAAGUCGAGCGAACAGACGAGGAGCUUGCUCCUCUGACGUUAGCGGUGGACGGGUGAGUAACACGUGGAUAACCUACCUAUAAGACUGGGAUAACUUCGGGAAACCGGAGCUAAUACCGGGUAAUAUAUUGAACCGCAUGGUUCAAUAGUGAAAGACGGUUUUGCUGUCACUUAUAGAUGGAUCCGCGCCGCAUUAGCUAGUUGGUAAGGUAACGGCUUACCAAGGCAACGAUGCGUAGCCGACCUGAGAGGGGGAUCGGCCACACUUGAACUGAGACACCGUCCAGACUCCUACGGGAGGCAGCAGUAGGGAAUCUUCCGCAAUGGGCGAAAGCCUGACGGAGCAACGCCGCGUGAGUGAUGAAGGUCUUCGGAUCGUAAAACUCUGGUAUUAGGGAAGAACAAAUGUGUAAGUAACUAUGCACGUCUUGACGGUACCUAAUCAGAAAGCCACGGCUAACUACGUUC